UACGUAGGGCGCAAGCGUUGUCCGGAAUUAUUGGGCGUAAAGAGCUCGUAGGCGGUUUGUCGCGUCUGCUGUGAAAACUCGAGGCUCAACCUCGGGCUUGCAGUGGGUACGGGCAGACUAGAGUGCGGUAGGGGUGACUGGAAUUCCGUGGUGUAGCGGUGGAAUGCGCAGAUAUCAGGAGGAACACCGAUGGCGAAGGCAGGUCACUGGGCCGCAACUGACGCUGGAGGAGCGAAAGCAUGGGGAGCGAACAGG
rnacentral:rRNA from 1 species